CUUUACUCCCUUCUUGCAUUUACACUUUUCUCCUUGAGAGAAAAUGAGAUGGCACGGAUAACAUGGGCCACGGCGAAAGCUAAAGGAAACAGAAAACACAAGGAGGGUAUACCAAGAGAAGGUAAAGAUGGGUACUUGCUUUCUGUGUUGCUGCUGUUUGCUUUGAUUAAUUCACUGGAAGAUUCUGAUGAAAGCCGUGAAGAGCAUUCAAGGGCAAAGUUCAUUCAGAAAUGAACUUAAGAAGAGGAGGAUGCUGCAGAGGCAAAGGAAAAGGAAUAGAGCUGAUGAUUUAAAGGUCACAAGGAGGCAGAUGAGCACAGUGUCAAGAGCCUGUGCAGAAAGAAAUUUAGAUGGGCCAGAGCGACCAAGCAAACAGAACCAACUCUUGAUCUACAUUUUGUGAAACUCUAUCAAGAAGAUAAGUGUUUCAAGGCUUUCUAGAUGGGCAACCUCAAAUUCUGCAUGUACUAAUAAUGAACUUUUAUCGACACAAAAACACAAGUAAAUCGUGGUGAUUGUUAAGGCUUUCCUGGAAAGGUGUGAAGACUUGGAGCGCCCACUAAAGAGAUGUUCAGCAAGAACAAGGGAUAGGUAAAAAACAUCAGACCCAAGGUCCAAAGAAGAUACGAAUCUGUGGCGAAUCCCAUUUUAGUUACUAGGCAAUGCUACUCCUCUGUCUUUUAAGAGAUUGGAUACAGAAUGAGAAGUAUAACUGAAGCAUUCUCCCAGGUCUACAUCCUCACAGGCUCAGGGAAAGUCUGAGAACAUAAGACAAUUAGGGAUACCAGGCAAUCAGUACUUUCUCGAAACAACCAGGGAGCACAGAUUCAGGAUGCUAGCAAUGACCCCUUUACCUUCUUGUUUAUCCUCAAAAGGCUCAAGGGGAAAAAAAUGACCUCAGAAGGAAUUAUGUGUCUUCUAAUCAUUAUUAUUUGACUGGAUAAGACCCCAUUUUCAUUUUAACUCUAAUUCACAGUUAUGAAAACCAACUUAUUUAAUUUAAUUGCCUUCUCUUUGUCCUGGGGUUAUGUAUCAGUUUAAAGCUUUGGGAAUGCCCACCUCCCCCUGAAUCACUGGAUGGCCUCCAGGGAACCUGAGGGACAACAAAGAUAUUAUGUACUCGGAUUAAAGGGGCAAACAUUUCCCCAGACCCACAGAGAGGCAACACCUCCAAACUCUCAGUAGAAAUGACCAGAAAGAACAGGGGUAUCCUUUAAUUAGCUAGUUUUAGAACACAUGCUGGGAAAUAAACCCAGUUAGCCCCCAAAUAUACGUGAGGUGAGAGGUUAUUUUCUAGAGAGACAGUCCAUGGCCUAGGAGACGUUAGUGGCUUGGUUGGAAAACUUCAGGACACAGUGAACAAGGCGUUACCAGUCGUCCCCCUGAGUGGCUGGCAAUACACAAGCCAUAAUUAUUUACUCUCCCUGGCUAGGGCUACCCCUCAGUGCAGAAGACAGAGGAGAGCCCACCACUCUAGAUGAAUGACUGACACUUCCUCGGGCCUCCAAGGAACUCUGGGCAUGCUCUCUGGCUGCUCUGACAGAUGUUUUAGGGAAGUACUUCUGAUUUGUCAACUGCAAACGAUAGAACUCUCUUGGUGGCCUGUCCCAUUUGGUGGGCUGGGUAUCACCCUGACUUGGGACAAAAGGCCACUGACUUGGACAUCACAAGCACAUGUUGUUAAAGACAGCAGUGUCUCUAUAAAACACAGUACUGUUAGAAAAAGGAAUUCCUUUUUUUUUUUA